AGACCACUAGGGGUCCUCAUACCAUCCAGAACAUAACCCUGUUCGGCUGCAGCAUCAUCUUUGUCCCAGCUAAAGCACAGGCUGGGACAAAAUCCAGGAAGUGAGGGCAGGAUUAGCACUCCUCUAACACCUGUCCAAUCAGACUGCAGCAUGAAAACAGAGAGGAGGGGGUUACAACAAAGGCUGCAGUGAUUGGAUGAAGAGACCCAGCACAGCACAGAAGACUCAAGGAGAAAAAUGAGUCAUGCAGAGUGAGGACAUGCCCCCUGUAAAGCACAGAAUAACAAACCAAGUAGGCAACAGAUAGAAGCUCAGAUAUUUUAAAGCAAUGGAUAAGGCUGGGAGAACUCAAGAAACUAUGAAAUAGUCUUUGGCUGCGACAAGCAACUAAUUGCACAAUUGAUUUGUUGCCGAUAAAUUAAUCGAUGAAUCAGGGUCUAAAAAAAGGCCAUUAUGCUGCCGGGAGAGCGUUCCAAAAAAAAGAAAAAUUGCAAGCUGAAAAAUAAAUAUAUGUAGAGAGCGAGCAGUAAUUUGCAGCGCUGUAGUGGAUUCAUGUCACUUCAGCUGCCAAAGCCUUUGUAAUGAUUUUUCUUUUUAAUAGGCUUUUCGAAUGAGCAUGUUGAGAAAUUUUUGGUGGUACGGAGGCUGCAGUCUAAUUCUAACAUGGUUGACUUACUUAAACUUAUUUUUUUACUUACUGUAAAGUAUUU